rnacentral:rRNA from 1 species
UACGGAGGGUGCAAGCGUUUGUCCGGAUUUAUUGGGUUUAAAGGGUGCGUAGGCGGCCCUGUAAGUCAGUGGUGAAAGCCUCCAGCUCAACUGGAGAACUGCCAUUGAUACUGCAGGGCUUGAGUACAGACGAGGUUGGCGGAAUUGAUAGUGUAGCGGUGAAAUGCAUAGAUACUAUCAAGAACUCCGAUUGCGUAGGCAGCUAACUAGGCUGUAACUGACGCUGAGGCACGAAAGCGUGGGGAGCGAACAGG